AUUGAACGCUGGCGGAAUGCUUUACACAUGCAAGUCGAACGGCAGCACGGACUUCGGUCUGGUGGCGAGUGGCGAACGGGUGAGUAAUGUAUCGGAACGUGCCCAGUCGGGGGGGAUAACGAAGUGAAAGUUAAGCUAAUACCGCAUACGAUCUAUGGAUGAAAGCGGGGGAUCGCAAGACCUCGCGCGAUGGGAGCGGCCGAUAUCAGAUUAGGUAGUUGGUGGGGUAAAGGCCCACCAAGCCAACGAUCUGUAGCUGGUCUGAGAGGACGACCAGCCACACUGGAACUGAGACACGGUCCAGACUCCUACGGGAGGCAGCAGUGGGGAAUUUUGGACAAUGGGCGAAAGCCUGAUCCAGCCAUUCCGCGUGCAGGAUGAAGGCCCUCGGGUUGUAAACUGCUUUUGUACAGAACGAAAAGGUUUCUACUAAUACUAGGAGCUCAUGACGGUACUGUAAGAAUAAGCACCGGCUAACUACGUGCCAGCAGCCGCCGUAA
rnacentral:rRNA from 1 species